rnacentral:rRNA from 1 species
UUAAGCGACUAAGCGUACACGGUGGAUGCCCUGGCAGUCAGAGGCGAUGAAGGACGUGCUAAUCUGCGAAAAGCGUCGGUAAGGUGAUAUGAACCGUUAUAGCCGGCGAUGUCCGAAUGGGGAAACCCAGUGUGAUUCGUCACACUAUCGUUAACUGAAUACAUAGGUUAACGAGGCGAACCGGGGGAACUGAAACAUCUAAGUACCCCGAGGAAAAGAAAUCAACCGAGAUUCCCCCAGUAGCGGCGAGCGAACGGGGAGCAGCCCAGAGUCUGAAUCAGCUUGUGUGUUAGUGGAACGGUCUGGAAAGUCCGACGGUACAGGGUGAUAGUCCCGUACACCAAAAUGCACAGGCUGUGAACUCGAAGAGUAGGGCGGGACACGUGGUAUCCUGUCUGAAUAUGGGGGGACCAUCCUCCAAGGCUAAAUACUCCUGACUGACCGAUAGUGAACCAGUACCGUGAGGGAAAGGCGAAAAGAACCCCGGCGAGGGGAGUGAAAAAGAACCUGAAACCGUGUACGUACAAGCAGUGGGAGCACCUUCGGGUGUGACUGCGUACCUUUUGUAUAAUGGGUCAGCGACUUAUAUUCUGUAGCAAGGUUAACCGUAUAGGGGAGCCGCAGGGAAACCGAGUCUUAACUGGGCGUUAAGUUGCAGGGUAUAGACCCGAAACCCGGUGAUCUAGCCAUGGGCAGGUUGAAGGUUGGGUAACACUAACUGGAGGACCGAACCGACUAAUGUUGAAAAAUUAGCGGAUGACUUGUGGCUGGGGGUGAAAGGCCAAUCAAACCGGGAGAUAGCUGGUUCUCCCCGAAAGCUAUUUAGGUAGCGCCUCGUGAACUCAUCUUCGGGGGUAGAGCACUGUUUCGGCUAGGGGGUCAUCCCGACUUACCAACCCGAUGCAAACUACGAAUACCGAAGAAUGUUAUCACGGGAGACACACGGCGGGUGCUAACGUCCGUCGUGAAGAGGGAAACAACCCAGACCGCCAGCUAAGGUCCCAAAGUCAUGGUUAAGUGGGAAACGAUGUGGGAAGGCACAGACAGCCAGGAUGUUGGCUUAGAAGCAGCCAUCAUUUAAAGAAAGCGUAAUAGCUCACUGGUCGAGUCGGCCUGCGCGGAAGAUGUAACGGGGCUAAACCAUGCACCGAAGCUGCGGCAGCGACACUAUGUGUUGUUGGGUAGGGGAGCGUUCUGUAAGCCUGCGAAGGUGACCUGUGAGGGUUGCUGGAGGUAUCAGAAGUGCGAAUGCUGACAUAAGUAACGAUAAAGCGGGUGAAAAGCCCGCUCGCCGGAAGACCAAGGGUUCCUGUCCAACGUUAAUCGGGGCAGGGUGAGUCGACCCCUAAGGCGAGGCCGAAAGGCGUAGUCGAUGGGAAACAGGUUAAUAUUCCUGUACUUGGUGUUACUGCGAAGGGGGGACGGAGAAGGCUAUGUUAGCCGGGCGACGGUUGUCCCGGUUUAAGCAUGUAGGCUGGUUGUCCAGGCAAAUCCGGAUAAUCAAGGCUGAGGUGUGAUGACGAGGCACUACGGUGCUGAAGUAACAAAUGCCCUGCUUCCAGGAAAAGCCUCUAAGCAUCAGGUAACAUUAAAUCGUACCCCAAACCGACACAGGUGGUCAGGUAGAGAAUACCAAGGCGCUUGAGAGAACUCGGGUGAAGGAACUAGGCAAAAUGGUGCCGUAACUUCGGGAGAAGGCACGCUGGUGUGUAGGUGAAGUCCCUGCGGAUGGAGCUGAGACCAGUCGAAGAUACCAGCUGGCUGCAACUGUUUAUUAAAAACACAGCACUGUGCAAACACGAAAGUGGACGUAUACGGUGUGACGCCUGCCCGGUGCCGGAAGGUUAAUUGAUGGGGUUAUCCGUAAGGAGAAGCUCUUGAUCGAAGCCCCGGUAAACGGCGGCCGUAACUAUAACGGUCCUAAGGUAGCGAAAUUCCUUGUCGGGUAAGUUCCGACCUGCACGAAUGGCGUAAUGAUGGCCAGGCUGUCUCCACCCGAGACUCAGUGAAAUUGAACUCGCUGUGAAGAUGCAGUGUACCCGCGGCAAGACGGAAAGACCCCGUGAACCUUUACUAUAGCUUGACACUGAACAUUGAGCCUUGAUGUGUAGGAUAGGUGGGAGGCUUUGAAGCGUGGACGCCAGUCUGCGUGGAGCCAACCUUGAAAUACCACCCUUUAAUGUUUGAUGUUCUAACGUUGGCCCCUGACCGGGGUUGCGGACAGUGUCUGGUGGGUAGUUUGACUGGGGCGGUCUCCUCCCAAAGCGUAACGGAGGAGCACGAAGGUUAGCUAAUCCUGGUCGGACAUCAGGAGGUUAGUGCAAUGGCAUAAGCUAGCUUGACUGCGAGCGUGACGGCGCGAGCAGGUGCGAAAGCAGGUCAUAGUGAUCCGGUGGUUCUGAAUGGAAGGGCCAUCGCUCAACGGAUAAAAGGUACUCCGGGGAUAACAGGCUGAUACCGCCCAAGAGUUCAUAUCGACGGCGGUGUUUGGCACCUCGAUGUCGGCUCAUCACAUCCUGGGGCUGAAGUAGGUCCCAAGGGUAUGGCUGUUCGCCAUUUAAAGUGGUACGCGAGCUGGGUUUAGAACGUCGUGAGACAGUUCGGUCCCUAUCUGCCGUGGGCGCUGGAGAAUUGAGGGGGGCUGCUCCUAGUACGAGAGGACCGGAGUGGACGCAUCACUGGUGUUCGGGUUGUCAUGCCAAUGGCACUGCCCGGUAGCUAAAUGCGGAAGAGAUAAGUGCUGAAAGCAUCUAAGCACGAAACUUGCCCCGAGAUGAGUUCUCCCUGAGACUUUAAGUCUCCUGAAGGAACGUUAAAGACGAUGACGUUGAUAGGCCGGGUGUGUAAGCGCAGCGAUGCGUUGAGCUAACCGGUACUAAUGAACCGUGAGGCUUAACCUU